CGCCCUUAGAGUUUGAUCCUGGCUCAGAUUGAACGCUGGCGGCAGGCCUAACACAUGCAAGUCGAGCGGCAGCACAAGUGAGUUUACUCAUGAGGUGGCGAGCGGCGGACGGGUGAGUAAUGCCUAGGGAUCUGCCCAGUCGAGGGGGAUAACAGUUGGAAACGACUGCUAAUACCGCAUACGCCCUACGGGGGAAAGAGGGGGACUUUCGGGCCUCUCGCGAUUGGAUGAACCUAGGUGGGAUUAGCUAGUUGGUGAGGUAAUGGCUCACCAAGGCGACGAUCCCUAGCUGUUCUGAGAGGAUGAUCAGCCACACUGGGACUGAGACACGGCCCAGACUCCUACGGGAGGCAGCAGUGGGGAAUAUUGCACAAUGGGGGAAACCCUGAUGCAGCCAUGCCGCGUGUGUGAAGAAGGCCUUCGGGUUGUAAAGCACUUUCAGUAGGGAGGAAAGGGUAAGUCCCUAAU
rnacentral:rRNA from 1 species